AUAACUUAUUCCUUCAUUCUGAAAAUCGUUUUUUUCCUACGUACAUACUCUGAAUGGUCUGGCGGUAGCCGAGCCAUAUAGGCUUUUUCUAGAACCAGUAUUAGGUACAUAGUAUCCAUUUUACCGAAACUCUACAUUUGGUCUCGACGAUCGGGAACAUGUCGUGGCCGCCGUAGGCUAUAUUGGCGACUCGGAGGCGAAUUACCUACGGUACCGUGGUUCACCACGAUUCCCGAAAAUUUCAACAUUAAAUAACUGCAUUACUCCGUAAUAUGGCUCCAAUUGAUCUGGCAUUUGCUUUGUUUAAAGUCGCUAAACCCUAGGGAUAAUAUGCACGACACUCAGAUUACAAGAGACUUUGGUGUUGAUCGUACUAACUGCAUCUACCGGGUAUUCAAAUCUCGUCCACAAAAUAUAAGAUUGACAUGGAUAUCUCUUCCUUACAUACACAUUCCAUUCCACCAUCUGGCGUACUACAGAGUUAUUUAUUUUCUGGCAUACUGGAGGCGCCUCAGGUAAGGCAAAGUAAGGAAAACAAGGCAUGUGGCAGAUCAGAUCCCGUGACCCACUUCGAUAGAACUUACUUUCUUCCGGCGCCCCCCGGGCUCGCCGGCCGUUGCUCCUUACAUCAACCUUUUUCUUCCCCUGCGAGGUCUGCAAUAAUCUGUAUGACCGAGUUGUUAAGUUAUGUAAGAUGAGAUACCUUGAUGGGAGUUGAUGGACAGGCUUAUGUAGAGACCUGCUUGAUCCAUGAUCAUUUACUUAAUGAUCAAUUCUCAACGAGGAUAGGUGAUUAGAAGGUAAUCCCUGCUUGUGCAUGUGCAUGAAUCACGUCGCAUAACGAGGAGACAAGACGUUAUUAAAGACUCGCCACCCCCGCCCUUUUACUCUCAACGCUCGAGUGCCAGAAAUACUCUGUGCCCUUUCCUAUACACACCAUCACGGCAUGGUUUAUACCUCGUGUAGACCGACCUUGCCGAUGUGUAUAUUCAAUGAUUGGCAUACUCAAAUAUGCGUGUGGCUUUUCUUCACCACGUAACAUACAAUGUGCUAUCAUUGACAUUCUGAUACCUGGAGUAAUAUUUUAUUUAUGACGGUCCUGGUGGCUUGUGUUGAGCUGUACCGAUUGAUACUACCGACACUCAAGACACCGCCACCGUCAGCACCAACGCAGUAUACCACAUCGCUA
rnacentral:lncRNA from 1 species